GAUGAACGCUGGCGGCGUGCUUAACACAUGCAAGUCGAACGAUGAAGCCCAGCUUGCUGGGUGGAUUAGUGGCGAACGGGUGAGUAACACGUGAGUAACCUGCCCUUAACUCUGGGAUAAGCCUGGGAAACUGGGUCUAAUACCGGAUAGGAGCGUCCACCGCAUGGUGGGUGUUGGAAAGAUUUAUCGGUUUUGGAUGGACUCGCGGCCUAUCAGCUUGUUGGUGAGGUAAUGGCUCACCAAGGCGAUGACGGGUAGCCGGCCUGAGAGGGUGACCGGCCACACUGGGACUGAGACACGGCCCAGACUCCUACGGGAGGCAGCAGUGGGGAAUAGUGCACAAUGGGCGCAAGCCUGAUGCAGCGACGCCGCGUGAGGGAUGACGGCCUUCGGGUUGUAAACCUCUUUCAGUAGGGAAGAAGCGAAAGUGACGGUACCUGCAGAAGAAGCACCGGCUAACUACGUG
rnacentral:rRNA from 1 species